AUGAACGCUGGCGGCGUGCCUAAUACCUGCAAGUCGAGCGAACAGAUGAGGAGCUUGCUCCUCUGACGUUAGCGGCGGACGGGUGAGUAACACGUGGAUAACCUACCUAUAAGACUGGGAUAACUUCGGGAAACCGGAGCUAAUACCGGAUAAUAUAUUGAACCGCAUGGUUCAAUAGUGAAAGACGGUUUUGCUGUCACUUAUAGAUGGAUCCGCGCCGCAUUAGCUAGUUGGUAAGGUAACGGCUUACCAAGGCAACGAUGCGUAGCCGACCUGAGAGGGUGAUCGGCCACACUGGAACUGAGACACGGUCCAGACUCCUACGGGAGGCAGCAGUAGGGAAUCUUCCGCAAUGGGCGAAAGCCUGGCGGAGCAACGCCGCGUGAGUGAUGAAGGUCUUCGGAUCGUAAAACUCUGUUAUUAGGGAAGAACAAAUGUGUAAGUAACUAUGCACGUCUUGACGGUACCUAAUCAGAAAGCCACGGCUAACUACGUG
rnacentral:rRNA from 1 species